GACGAACGCUGGCGGCGUGCUUAACACAUGCAAGUCGAACGGAAAGGCCCUGCUUUUGUGGGGUGCUCGAGUGGCGAACGGGUGAGUAAUACGUGGGUAACCUGCCCUUGACUUUGGGAUAACUUCAGGAAACUGGGGCUAAUACCGGAUAGGAGCUCCUGCUGCAUGGUGGGGGUUGGAAAGUUUCGGCGGUUGGGGAUGGACUCGCGGCUUAUCAGCUUGUUGGUGGGGUAGUGGCUUACCAAGGCUUUGACGGGUAGCCGGCCUGAGAGGGUGACCGGCCACAUUGGGACUGAGAUACGGCCCAGACUCCUACGGGAGGCAGCAGUGGGGAAUAUUGCACAAUGGGCGGAAGCCUGAUGCAGCAACGCCGCGUGCGGGAUGACGGCCUUCGGGUUGUAAACCGCUUUCGCCUGUGACGAAGCGUGAGUGACGGUAAUGGGUAAAGAAGCACCGGCUAACUACGUG
rnacentral:rRNA from 1 species